rnacentral:rRNA from 1 species
CAAUGGCGUAUACAAAGAGAAGCGACGGUGCGAGCUGGAGCGGAUCUCAUAAAGUACGUCUAAGUUCGGAUUGGAGUCUGCAACUCGACUCCAUGAAGUCGGAAUCGCUAGUAAUCGUAGAUCAGAAUGCUACGGUGAAUACGUUCGCGGGCCUUGUACACACCGCCCGUCACACCAUGGGAGUGGGUUGCACCAGAAGUAGAUAGCUUAACCGUGAGGGGGGCGUUUACCACGGUGUGAUUCAUGACUGGGGUGAAGUCGUAACAAGGUAACCA